GGACCUUGAAAGGCUGCUGAACAUUCCUCAUCAGAAACCUGAGGAGGACACUGAAAAGACAGCCACAAUUUUCCUUCUGCUUGCUGCCAAGUUUCUUGAGGGCUCAGCUGUUGGGAACUUGACUGCUAUCUUUGAGCAAGUGGAGUUCUCAGCAUCAAACUCGGGCAUUUGACCAACUUACUCAUCAACCUCAGGCAACAUUAGAACACGGCAACCUCCCCCACAUGCAGAAAGAUGCCUUUCUGUGGGUAUUCCCAAAGAAAAGGAAAGGAAGCAAGAGUAGGCUGUGCAUGACUUCUUUCUCCUAAACUCACCAACCAGGUUUUGGUUUUCGUGUCGUCUCUGGGUGGGAAAGUGGAGAGUGGGAGACUGAAGCUCAUUCUCAGGACCACGGACAAUGAUAC